rnacentral:rRNA from 1 species
UCAAACACCCGAUCCCAUCCCGAACUCGGCCGUGAAAAGCCUCCGCGCCAAUGGUACUGCGUCUUAAGACGUGGGAGAGUAGGUCGCCGCCAGGU